rnacentral:rRNA from 1 species
AUUGAACGCUGGCGGCAGGCCUAACACAUGCAAGUCGAACGGUAGCACAGAGGAGCUUGCUCCUUGGGUGACGAGUGGCGGACGGGUGAGUAAUGUCUGGGAAACUGCCCGAUGGAGGGGGAUAACUACUGGAAACGGUAGCUAAUACCGCAUAACGUCUUCGGACCAAAGUGGGGGACCUUCGGGCCUCACACCAUCGGAUGUGCCCAGAGGGGAUUAGCUAGUAGGUGGGGUAAUGGCUCACCUAGGCGACGAUCCCUAGCUGGUCUGAGAGGAUGACCAGCCACACUGGAACUGAGACACGGUCCAGACUCCUACGGGAGGCAGCAGUGGGGAAUAUUGCACAAUGGGCGCAAGCCUGAUGCAGCCAUGCCGCGUGUAUGAAGAAGGCCUUCGGGUUGUAAAGUACUUUCAGCGGGGAGGAAGGCGUUAAGGUUAAUAACCUUGGCGAUUGACGUUACCCGCAGAAGAAGCACCGGCUAACUCCGUGCCAGCAGCCGCGGUAACAC